AUGGAUAGGUCUCUUUCCCUUUUUUUCCUCUUUUCUUUCUUUUAUUUUUUUUUCCACUAUUUUACAAGCACGUCCCUCUCUUCCCACUCCGAGCUGACAACCCUUUCCCCCCAGCCCCCUCGUGGAGGGGAUUUUUCACCAGCCCCCGAUGUCCCCCACCUUUUUUUUGGAGUGGGGGGGAAAGAAGACAAGAACAUCCCAGGAGACAGACGGAGGUGGGGAAAUGGGGGUGGGGGUGCAGGAGCCCAGCAAACAGCCGCGCAGCUGGAUUCUUUUGCAAAUAGCACGAGGAGGGGAGAGAAAGGCGGCAGCGGAAUCCGAGGACCGGCGUGGCCGGCGCCCUGCCCGGCCGGGUGCCGCGACUGGGGGAACUCGGAGCCAGCGGCCACCCUUCGCCCUGCGUCUCCCCCAGGCCCGAGCGCACCCCGCUCCCCUCCGCCGGCGCCGUCAGCGCGGACCCACGCGCUCCCCAGCGCUCCCCUGGAGCCGCUGGCCCGGGGGGAGCUGGGCUGCGGGGCGGCUCACCCAGUGCGCCUGGGUCGGUGCGGGCGCGGACUGGGAGCUAUAGAUUGCAACGUGAAGAUGGCGGAGUCCGGGUUCUCUGGGAGCUCUCGGUCUCUCUAUGGCUGGGGCUGCCUCUGUACAAUGGGAUAAAAUUCAAGUUCAAGUGCGGACGUGACGUUUAAUCUGCACUAGAGACAAAAAGACCCAGAGAGUCGGAGCACUGGGGGCGACUAGCGGUGGCUUUUUAACAUUGUACCCUGUAAGAGAACAAGAAAGCACACACACACAGAGACACACUCGCGCGCGCGCGCGCACACACACACACACACACCCCGCAGUUCAGGCCGGCCACACGUGCGGCGUUUUUUUUGUGUGCGCUCGUCUCCUCCCGGUGCACUGGCAGCGCAAAAUGGGGGGAGAGAGGGAGGGCCGUGGGCAAGAUAUUUUUAAAUAAAAGAAAAUCCUCUCCAUCCCUCCUCCCCUCUAGGGAGCUGGACCCCCAGAGAAGGGGGGCGGAGUGCGGUGUGCGUGGAAGUAAGUUGAAGCAACGCAAGUCCCCACCCACUCACUGGAAAGCUCUUGGGGGGUGGGGGAUGGCUAUGAAAGAGUGUUGGGGUCGACACGAGGACUAGGACCACAUGGUCAAUUACUCCGUCUCCCUAGGAAAGUAGUUUGGUUGUUUUCACUUUUAUUGAGGGGUCGGGGUUAAACUUCCAAAAAGUGUCUCCAUAUCAAUCCUAAUAUUUCAAACUGGGAGAGCCAAGGGGAGAAGAUAAAAGAUACUAAGAGGAAAGAAUUCGGGGCACAUUGAGGGGCAGGGAAACGUGAGACCUUGUCUGAGUCCCAUUCCGGAAGGCAUGUCCACCCGAAAUCUUUGCGCUCCCUGCACCUCAUCCCAUUCAGUCUUGGGGUCAAACACGGAGCCCACCCCUAACGCCAAGGUUUUUCGGAAGCAUGGGGGUGAGGGGCACGGGUGCUUCACGUGGGAGAGUGUCUCAUAGUUGCCGACCCAGAAGUAGGUGUGGCCGGAUCUUUGGACACACUCGCGUGGGUGACCCCCCUCGGGUCCCCCAGUCCCUUCCCACCCCUUGACAAUUAUUGCAGCCUGGAAGUAACGCCCCCCCCCCCCAGGGCUCCUCCGCCCAGGGCAGGACUUGAAAUUGCCCGUCAGUCUGGAAAGGAAGGACACAGCUGCCUUGUCAGCCGUUUGAUCUCCAGCCGGCGAGGCUGAGAGGAGGUGUGGGGGCCUGUCCGUGGCCCGGGGACAAGGCCAGGACGCGGGCCGCGUGGACACCUACAACCCCCCCUCCCACCUCCCCGNNNNNNNNNNNNNNNNNNNNNNNNNNNNNNNNNNNNNNNNNNNNNNNNNNNNNNNNNNNNNNNNNNNNNNNNNNNNNNNNNNNNNNNNNNGGCUCG
ensembl:lincRNA